UCAAGUAAGUAUAUCAACAAUUGCACAUAUAAAAAUCAGAAAAUUAUUUAAUAUAUGAAUUUUAUUUUGAUUUAUCUAGAUUCAAAUGAAUGUAAUAGCGAGAAUCUGGAUGUCCAAACUUUAAGUAAAACAGAUAUUACUGCACAAUAUGAUACUGCUGAUACAACAUACAAUACGAUACAGCUAGGCUUAACAGAAUCUCAAAAACGUGAAUCUACAAAUAUAUUACAAAGGACAAACAUAAAAUGUCGUAAACUGGAAGAUGAAAAUAAAAAACUGAAAGCAAUGAUCAGUUCCUUAACACAAGAUUAUGAAAAACAAUUAAACAAUCAAGCAGAUAUGUUUAAAACUUUUAUAGAAAAA